rnacentral:tRNA from 1 species
UGGCAAAAUGGUUAAGCACUUGGCUGCUAACCAAAAGUUUGGUGGUUCGAUCCCAUC